rnacentral:rRNA from 1 species
AUUGAACGCUGGCGGCAGGCCUAACACAUGCAAGUCGAGCGAGCGGCGGACGGGUGAGUAAUGUCUGGGAAACUGCCUGAUGGAGGGGGAUAACUACUGGAAACGGUAGCUAAUACCGCAUACCAUCAGAUGUGCCCAGAUGGGAUUAGCUAGUAGGUGGGGUAACGGCUCACCUAGGCGACGAGCCCUAGCUGGUCUGAGAGGAUGACCAGCCACACUGGAACUGAGGCACGGGCCAUACUCCUACGGGAGGCAGCAGUGGGGAAUAUGUCACAAGGGGCGAAAGCCUGAUACAGCCAUGCCGCGUGUGUGAAGUGGGCUUGCGGGUUGUAAAGCACUGUCAGCGGGGAGGCGUUACCCGCAGAAGAAGAACCGGCUGACUCCGUGCCAGCAGCCGCGGUAAUAC